rnacentral:rRNA from 1 species
AUGGGCGGCAAGACUAUUCAGGUGUCAGGGUUUCCUUCAACUGUCAAUGCUGACCAUGUCAAGGAUUUGUUGGAACAAAUUGUUGGUACUGGCAACGUCUUUGCGAUCAAGCUCAGGCCUCCAAAGAACAUCUCUGCAAACUCAAAAUCGUUUGCCAUUGUUCAGUUCCAGUCCGAGGCACAUGCUUCGCUGGUGUUGAAUGCGGCCCGACGGAAUGCACUAAGGACUGGAAGUAAUCAUCUGAAGGCCCGAUACGCAGAGCGUGACAUUGUUCCGAGACCAAGAACUACAAUUUUUAAUCUACAGGAUGCAACACUGCAUUUUGGCUGCCUUCUGAAGGAAAAAGUUCUAUCUGUUCUGUGGAGCGGAACAAAUGUUUCCGUUGAGUUUGGAUUUGCUAUGAAGAGGAUUGACUUUUGCCUGAUCUCCAACUCGAAGAAAUACAAACUUGAACUCUCCUACGAGAGCAUAUGGGAGAUCCAGCUUCAUCGUCCACCUGGGUUGCAAAAAAAGUUCCUUCUGAUUCAGGUUCAGGCUGCUCCGAAAAUUUACGAACAAAAUAUACGCCGCUCUGGUUCUAUGUACGACGAUCCUUUAUUCAACUAUUUUAGGGAUGAUACAGAUGACCAGUGGACCAGAACAACUGAUUUUACUCCAUUAGCCAGCAUUGGGCAAUCAUAUAUCCUAUGUCUGGAGCUACCACAUAUUUGUUAUCUCCCGAACAUCCGAGAGUACUUUGUUUACUAUGAAGUACACGAUGACGUCUUCCAUCUCCAGCGUGGAUAUUCAUAUUCAAGCAAUACUUGCUUUGUUCCAGUUGUGAAAUCUCAAUAUUUCACUGAUGUCCCCUAUGAGAUACUCUUUAAGAUCAACCACUUGGUUCAGAAUGGGACACUUAGUGGACCAACACUUGAUGACAACUUCUACCGUCUGGUCAGCCCAAGAUAUGAAUGUAUUGACCAUGUAAAGCGUGCACUUGAAAAGAUGUCAUACCUAAAAAAGACUUGUUUGAAUCCAACAAAGUGGUUAUCUGAACAAUACAAAAAACUUCAGAGAUCACGCUACGUGUUAAGAUUACCGAACAUAACUCUGGAUGAUGAUGGGUUGGUAUAUGUCUACAGGGUGCAAAUUACUCCUGCGAAAGUGUACUUUUAUGGUCCUGAGAUUAAUGUCUCGAAUCGUGUUGUACGGAAUUAUGCUGCUGAUUUGGAUAACUUCCUUCGGAUUUCGUUUGUUGAUGAGGACUGUGAGAAGCUUCGUUCAACUGAUUUAUCACAACGCUCUGCUCCAGGAAAUAAUACAAGGAGGACUGCUCUUUAUAACAGAGUUCUUUCAGUCCUUUCAAAUGGCAUUACUAUCGGUGACAAGCACUUUGACUUUCUGGCUUUUUCUUCAAGCCAGCUCCGAGAUAACUCUGCAUGGAUGUUUGCUUCUCGCCCGGGGUUAUCUGCCAGUGACAUCAGGGAGUGGAUGGGGAACUUCCGUAAUAUUAGAAAUGUGGCAAAGUAUGCUGCAAGGCUUGGUCAGUCUUUUAGUUCCUCAACAGAAACUUUGAAAGUGCAUAAGUAUGAGGUGAAAGAAGCUCCAGAUGUAACAAACGGUACAAAGUAUGUAUUCUCAGAUGGAAUUGGAACCAUUUCAGCUGAUUUUGCAGAUGAAGUGUCUAAGAAGUGCAACUUGACCCGCUUUACUCCCUCCGCUUUCCAAAUAAGGUAUGGAGGUUACAAAGGUGUUGUCGCUGUUGAUCCAACAUCACACUGGAAACUAUAUUUAAGAAAAAGCAUGUCAAAGUUUCAGUCAGAUAACAUCACACUAGAUGUUCUUGCAUACAGCAAGUACCAGCCAUGUUUCCUGAACCGGCAGUUAAUCACUCUUCUUUCGACACUCGGAGUCAGAGAUAGCAUAUUUGAACUGAAACAACAAGAAGCUGUGAAGCAGUUGAACAGAAUGGUAGCUGAACCACAAGCUGCUAUUGGUGCAAUUGAGCUUAUGCCCAUGGGAGAAAUUACCAACAUUGUUAAAGAGUUGUUGUUAUGUGGUUACCAGCCUGAUGUUGAACCAUUUGUUUCUAUGCUUCUACAAACAUUUAGAGCAUCCAAGCUGCUAGAAUUGAAAACGAGGUCAAGGAUAUUUGUCCCAAAAGGACGAGCAAUGAUGGGAUGCCUAGAUGAAACCCGCACACUGAAGUACGGACAGGUAUUCAUUCAAGCUUCUAAUAGUGCAAAUGACCGUGGAAAGUCCAUCGUAACUGGAAAAGUUAUCGUUGCGAAAAACCCUUGCAUCCACCCUGGUGAUAUCCGUAUUCUCCAGGCUGUUCAUAGUCCUCUUCUGGGCCACAUGGUUAACUGUGUUGUCUUUCCACAGCUGGGGCCAAGGCCUCAUCCUAAUGAAUGUUCAGGGAGUGAUCUGGAUGGGGACAUAUACUUUGUUUCAUGGGACCCAGAUCUCAUUCCAACUCGUAUGGUGGCGCCUAUGGACUAUACUCCUGCACCAACAGAAACAUUAGAUCAUGAUGUUAUGAUUGAGGAAGUACAUGAGUAUUUCACAAAUUACAUAGUUAACGAGAGUCUGGGAAUCAUUGCCAACGCGCACGUAGUCUUUGCGGAUAGGGAAAUCUUGAAGGCUGAAAGUACACCAUGCAUUAAGCUGGCAGAGCUCUUCUCCAUUGCUGUUGAUUAUCCAAAGACAGGAGUUCCGGCUCAAAUUCCGCCUGAACUACAUGUGAAGGAGUACCCAGAUUUCAUGGAGAAGCUCGACAGGGCUACCUAUGUAUCCGAGGGAGUAAUAGGGAAGCUCUACCGGGAAAUUAAGAAGCAGAACCCUCACAUUGGACACUUCACAAAGGAUGUGGCAAGGCGGUCUUAUGACGCUGAUUUGAUAGUUGAUGGCUACCAAGACUUCAUUACCGAAGCUGUGUGGUUCAAGGAACAGUAUGACUUCAAGUUGGGUAAUCUGAUGGAGCACUACGGAAUAAAUAGCGAGGCUGAGAUAAUAAGUGGAUGCAUCAUUAAGAUGGCAAAGAAUUUUACCAAGAAGAACGACGCCGAUGCUAUCAGACUGGCGGUGAAAUCUUUGCGGAAGGAAGCAAGGUCAUGGUUCAACGAGAUGGGUUCAGAUGAGAGCGGAGGUGGUCACGAGGCCUUGGACGCCAAGGCAUCCGCUUGGUAUCAUGUUACCUAUCACCCGGAGUACUGGGGUUGCUACAAUGAAGGAUAUGAUCACCGGCCACACUUCAUCAGUUUUCCGUGGUGUGUCUAUGACAAGCUGAUUCUCAUCAAGCAGCAGAAGAACUUUGUCAGGAAGAUGCUUGAUCUCGAGAACAGAAUGAGACGGAGCGCCAUAUUCGGGUGA